rnacentral:rRNA from 1 species
CCUACGGGUGGCAGCAGUGGGGAAUAUUGCACAAUGGGGGAAACCCUGAUGCAGCAACGCCGCGUGGGUGAAGGAGCGUUUCCGCGCGUAAAGCCCUGUCAGCGGGGAAGAAAAACGACGGUACCCGACCACGCCGCCCUGGCUAACUACGUGCCAGCAGCCGCGGUAAUCCGUAGGGGGCGAGCGUUAUCCGGAAUUCCUGGGUGUAAAGGGAGCGUAGACGGCGAGGUAAGCCUGAAGUGGAAGCCCGCGGCCCAACCGCGGAACUGCUUUGGGAACUGGUUUGCUGGAGUAUGGGAGGGGUAAGCGGAAUUCAUGGUGUAGCGGUGAAAUGCGUAGAUAUCGAGAGGAACACUCGUGGCGAAGGCGGGUUACUGGACAUUAACUGACGCUGAGGCACGAAGGCCAGGGGAGCGAAAGGGAUUAGAUACCCUUGUAGUC